rnacentral:rRNA from 1 species
AACGAACGCUGGCGGCAGGCCUAACACAUGCAAGUCGAACGAUCCUUCGGGAUAGUGGCGCACGGGUGAGUAACACGUGGGAAUGUACCUUUUAGUGGGGGAUAACAGUUGGAAACGACUGCUAAUACCGCAUACGUCCUUCGGGAGAAAGAUUUAUCGCUAAAAGAUCAGCCCGCGUCUGAUUAGCUAGUUGGUGAGGUAACGGCUCACCAAGGCGACGAUCAGUAGCUGGUCUAAGAGGACGACCAGCCACACUGGAACUGAGACACGGUCCAGACUCCUACGGGAGGCAGCAGUGGGGAAUAUUGGACAAUGGGCGAAAGCCUGAUCCAGCCAUGCCGCGUGAGUGAUGAAGGCCUUCGGGUUGUAAAGCUCUUUAGCAGGGGAAGAUAGUGACGGUACCCUGAGAAUAAGCCCCGGCUAACUCUGUGCCAGCAGCCGCAGUAA